rnacentral:rRNA from 1 species
GACGAGGGGUCCUAGCGUUGUUCGGAAUUAUUGGGCGUAAAGCGCAUGUAGGCGGCCUUUUAAGUCAGGUGUGAAAGCCCCGGGCUCAACCCGGGAAGUGCAUUUGAUACUGGAAGGCUUGAGUAUUGGAGAGGGUAGUGGAAUUCCGAGUGUAGAGGUGAAAUUCGUAGAUAUUCGGAAGAACACCAGUGGCGAAGGCGGCUCACUGGACCGUAGUUGACGCUGAGGUGCGAAAGCGUGGGGAGCAAACAGG